rnacentral:rRNA from 1 species
UUGGCGGAGAGUUGAAUGGAUGAACGAGCGCAAAUCUGUCUUAACUUAAAGAAAUAUGAAUUAGAUAUGUUAGUGAAAAAGCUAAUUUAUAUAGCAAGACGAAAAGACCCCGUGAAGCUUAACUACAAUCUAAAAUUAUACUCUUUUAAAUAAACUUUAAUUACAUAUUUAUGUUUAGGUAGGUAGUUUUGGUGGGGUGCCAGCACGUUAAAAAAAACAUGGAGUUAUUAAAUUUAUUUUUUAAUUAAUUAGUGUAAGAUAUAACUAUAUACAAAGAUAAAAAUCUAAAAAAUGACCCGCCUAAAUAAAUUUUAAGACGACAUAAAAUAAA